GCUGGGCUGUUCCUUCAUAAAAUAAUAAUAAUAAAGGUGAAUUCAUGGUGCAGGGAGGUGUUCCAAAUGAAAAUGGACUCAGGGAGGUGAGAAGUGUCGAUUCCACUGCACCCCAGAUCGCUGAGUGACCCCCCGAAUCACUGAAGUGUUCUGUUCCCUUUGGCUUCAGGUCAGUUUAUGGUGCUUGUUUAAAUUGUCUGGAAGGCUCCGACCGAUCCAAAAAUUGCUUGAAUUUGUGUCAGUUGUUUUCUAACAGCAGAAAGUGCACUUGCUUUAGGCUAAGUUGCUCAGUCAUUAACUGGCCGGGGAGGGGGCUGGAUUCACCCCCCAGCCCCAGCCCCAGCCCCGAACGCAGCUUCCCUUCCUUCACCCCAGUGUCGAUUCCAGCUGAAAUUCAAUAACUCCCUCCCUGGCGUGAGCUCUGAUAGGUCCGGUUCUCCCCCUCACACCACUCACAUGCCUAGGUCACAUGUCAUCCUGUCUUCCCUCCUCUGUGUGUUCUCAGAAUCACCGCACAGUCUCUUCCUGAGUGGCAGGUACUCUCCCCGCCCCCAGUUUGAUCUGAUCAGUAACUGUUUUAACAGAAGCUUCUCUUGCUGGGUUGCUGAGGUUCCCGAGCUGGGUGCGCGGUGGGUGGGAGGCGUCUUCCACGUCCCCAUCACAGGGGUGGAGGGAAGGAUGUAGACGGUGGAUUACUGGCCAUUCUGAGUGUGAACAUGAAUAUUACCAUCCGUGUGGGAAAGGCAUCACCCACAGACCCAGGUCGGAGACCUCUGGCCAGAACUUCUCAGGGGAUCCAGAUGAGGACCGUAAGACCCCGGCCCCUCGGGGGUCACUUGGCCUCCCCCAGGGCCCCAGUUUCAGCCGGAGGUGAUCCCCGCCGGGGUGGUGGUGGAGGCCACGAGGGGGCUG